CGCCUGUUUAACAAAAACAUUUCUUUUUAUAAUUAGGAAAAGUAGGCCCUGUUCAAUGAGGGUUAAAUAACCGCAAUAUUUAAUUGUGCGAAGGUAGCAUAAUAAUUUUUUCUUUAAUUGAGAGGUUGGAUGAAAGGGUUAACAAAGUGUUAACUGUGUUGAUGUGUGAUUGGAAUUUUAUGGGAAGGUGAAAAUGCCUUUUAGAGUUAAAGGGACGACAAGACCCUAUGAAACUUUGAAAUUAGCUAUGAUAAAUGGGUAAUUUAUUUAACUGGGGUGGUUGAUAAUUUGUAAACAUUAUAGUUUAAUACAUUUUGUAUGGAGUGUGUAUGAUCUUAGGUUAGAUAAGAGAUAAGUUACUCUAGGGAUAACAGCGUAAUUGGGUUUAAGAGUUCUUAUUGAAGAUCUAGUUGCGACCUCGAUGUUGAAUUAAGUAUAACUACCCGGAGCAGAAGAUGGGUUUAGUGAGUUUGUUCAACUUUUAAUUACUUACAUGAUCUGAGUUCAGACCGGA
rnacentral:rRNA from 1 species